AAAGUAUGGUGUAAAGCACGCAGGGUUUUGAUCUCUGAGGUGCGAGGUUAUCUCGCUAUUUUAG
rnacentral:tRNA from 1 species